AGGCUCUGGGUCCAACCUCCCACCCGUGUUUAUUGUACCUUGUUGCUUCGGUGCGCCCGCCUCACGGCCGCCGGGGGGCUUCUGCCCCCGGGUCCGCGCGCACCGGAGACACCAUUGAACUCUGUCUGAAGAUUGCAGUCUGAGCAUAAACUAAAUAAGUUAAAACUUUCAACAACGGAUCUCUUGGUUCCGGCAUCGAUGAAGAACGCAGCGAAAUGCGAUAACUAAUGUGAAUUGCAGAAUUCAGUGAAUCAUCGAGUCUUUGAACGCACAUUGCGCCCCCUGGUAUUCCGGGGGGCAUGCCUGUCCGAGCGUCAUUGCUGCCCUCAAGCACGGCUUGUGUGUUGGGCUCCGUCCCCCCGGGGACGGGCCCGAAAGGCAGCGGCGGCACCGAGUCCGGUCCUCGAGCGUAUGGGGCUUUGUCACCCGCUCUGUAGGCCCGGCCGGCGCCAGCCGACAACCAAUCAUCCUUUUCAGGUUGACCUCGGAUCAGGUAGGGAUACCCGCUGAACUUAAGCAUAUCAAUAAGCCGCGGGAGAGAA
rnacentral:rRNA from 1 species